rnacentral:tRNA from 1 species
UCCCUGAUGGUCUAGUGGUCAGGAUUUGGCGCUUUCACCGCCGUGGCCCUGGGUUCGAUUCCCGGUCAGGGAA